CNUGCAGUCGAGCGGUAGCAGGUCCUUCGGGAUGCUGACGAGCGGCGGACGGGUGAGUAAUGCAUAGGAAUCUGCCCGGUAGUGGGGGAUAACCUGGGGAAACCCAGGCUAAUACCGCAUACGUCCUACGGGAGAAAGGGGGCUUCGGCUCCCGCUAUUGGAUGAGCCUAUGUCGGAUUAGCUAGUUGGUGAGGUAAAGGCUCACCAAGGCAACGAUCCGUAGCUGGUCUGAGAGGAUGAUCAGCCACAUCGGGACUGAGACACGGCCCGAACUCCUACGGGAGGCAGCAGUGGGGAAUAUUGGACAAUGGGGGCAACCCUGAUCCAGCCAUGCCGCGUGUGUGAAGAAGGCCUUCGGGUUGUAAAGCACUUUCAGCGAGGAAGAACGCCUGGCGGUUAAUACCCGCNAGGAAAGACAUCACUCGCAGAAGAAGCACCGGCUAACUCCGUGCCAGCAGCCGCGGUAAUACGGAGGGUGCAAGCGUUAAUCGGAAUUACUGGGCGUAAAGCGCGCGUAGGUGGCUUGAUAAGCCGGUUGUGAAAGCCCCGGGCUCAACCUGGGAACGGCAUCCGGAACUGUCAGGCUAGAGUGCAGGAGAGGAAGGUAGAAUUCCCGGUGUAGCGGUGAAAUGCGUAGAGAUCGGGAGGAAUACCAGUGGCGAAGGCGGCCUUCUGGACUGACACUGACACUGAGGUGCGAAAGCGUGGGUAGCAAACAGGAUUAGAUACCCUGGUAGUCCACGCCGUAAACGAUGUCGACCAGCCGUUGGGUGCCUAGCGCACUUUGUGGCGAAGUUAACGCGAUAAGUCGACCGCCUGGGGAGUACGGCCGCAAGGUUAAAACUCAAAUGAAUUGACG
rnacentral:rRNA from 1 species